GCUUCACUCUUUCUUCGUGCCUAAUACAUGCAAGUCGAGCGAACAGACGAGGAGCUUGCUCCUCUGACGUUAGCGGCGGACGGGUGAGUAACACGUGGAUAACCUACCUAUAAGACUGGGAUAACUUCGGGAAACCGGAGCUAAUACCGGAUAAUAUAUUGAACCGCAUGGUUCAAUAGUGAAAGACGGUUUUGCUGUCACUUAUAGAUGGAUCCGCGCCGCAUUAGCUAGUUGGUAAGGUAACGGCUUACCAAGGCAACGAUGCGUAGCCGACCUGAGAGGGUGAUCGGCCACACUGGAACUGAGACACGGUCCAGACUCCUACGGGAGGCAGCAGUAGGGAAUCUUCCGCAAUGGGCGAAAGCCUGACGGAGCAACGCCGCGUGAGUGAUGAAGGUCUUCGGAUCGUAAAACUCUGUUAUUAGGGAAGAACAAAUGUGUAAGUAACUAUGCACGUCUUGACGGUACCUAAUCAGAAAGCCACGGCUAACUACGUG
rnacentral:rRNA from 1 species